GACGAACGCUGGCGGCGUGCCUAACACAUGCAAGUCGAACGAGGUCCAAGGAAGCUUGCUUCCUGAAGACCUAGUGGCGAACGGGUGAGUAACACGUGAGAAACCUGCCUCGGAGUGGGGAAUAACUCGGGGAAACUCGAGCUAAUACCGCAUACCUUCACAUGAUCGCAUGGUCGAGUGAAGAAAGAAUUUCGCUCUGAGAGGGUCUCGCGGCCUAUCAGCUUGUUGGUGGGUAACGGCCUACCAAGGCAACGACGGGUAGCUGGUUUGAGAGAACGAUCAGCCACACUGGGACUGAGACACGGCCCAGACUCCUACGGGAGGCAGCAGUGGGGAAUCUUGCGCAAUGGGCGAAAGCCUGACGCAGCAACGCCGCGUGCGGGAUGACGGCCUUCGUGGUUGUAAACCGCUUUCAGCAGGGACGAAAUGACGGUACCUGCAGAAGAAGCCCGGCUAACUACGUGCCAGCAGCCGCGGUAA
rnacentral:rRNA from 1 species